rnacentral:rRNA from 1 species
UACAGAGGUCUCGAGCGUUGUUCGGAUUCAUUGGGCGUAAAGGGUGCGUAGGUGGCGCUGUAAGUCGGGUGUGAAAUCCUGGGGCUUAACCCCGGAACUGCAUUCGAUACUGCAGUGCUUGAGGACUGGAGAGGAGACUGGAAUUCAUGGUGUAGCAGUGAAAUGCGUAGAGAUCAUGAGGAAGACCAGUGGCGAAGGCGGGUCUCUGGACAGUUCCUGACACUGAGGCGCGAAAGCGUGGGGAGCAAACAGG